rnacentral:rRNA from 1 species
ACGUAGGGUACAAGCGUUGUCCGGAAUUAUUGGGCGUAAAGAGCUCGUAGGUGGUUGGUCACGUCUGCUGUGGAAACGCAACGCUUAACGUUGCGCGUGCAGUGGGUACGGGCUGACUAGAGUGCAGUAGGGGAGUCUGGAAUUCCUGGUGUAGCGGUGAAAUGCGCAGAUAUCAGGAGGAACACCGGUGGCGAAGGCGGGACUCUGGGCUGUAACUGACACUGAGGAGCGAAAGCAUGGGGAGCGAACAGG